rnacentral:rRNA from 1 species
GACGAACGCUGGCGGCGUGCUUAACACAUGCAAGUCGAACGAAGUGGCGAACGGGUGAGUAACGCGUAAUCAACCUGCCCUUCAGAGGGGGACAACAGUUGGAAACGACUGCUCAUACCGCAUACUGAAGGAGGGGAUUGCGUCUGAUUAGCUGGUUGGAGGGGGAACGGCCCACCAAGGCGAUGAUGAGUAGCCGGUCUGGGGGGGUGAACCGCCAAAUUGGGACUGGGAAACGGCCCAGACCCCUAAGGGAGGCAGCCGUGGGGAAUCUUUCGCAAUGGACGAAAGUCUGACGGAGCCACGCCGCGUGAGUGAUGACAGGCUUCGGGUUGUAAAGCUCUGUUAAUCGGGACGCGGUACCGGAAUAGAAAGCAACGGCUAACUACGUGCCAGCAGCCGCGGUAAUAC